rnacentral:rRNA from 1 species
AUUGAACGCUGGCGGCAGGCCUAACACAUGCAAGUCGAACGAGUGGCGGACGGGUGAGUAAUGUCUGGGAAACCGCCCGCUGGAGGGGGAUAACUUCUGGAAACGGUAGCUAAUACCGCAUAUCAUCGGAUGUGCCCAGAUGGGAUUAGCUUGUAGGUGAGGUAACGGCUUACCUAGGCGCCGAUCCCUCGCUGGUCUGAGAGGCUGACCAGCAACACUGGAACUGGGACACGGUCCAGACUCCUACGGGGGGCAGCAGUGGGGAAUAUUGCACAAUGGGCGCAAGCCUGAUGCAGCCAUGCCGCGUGUAUGAAGAAGGCCUUCGGGUUGUAAAGUACUUUCAGCGGGGAGGCGUUACCCGCAGAAGAAGCACCGGCUAACUCCGUGCCAGCCGCCGCGGUAAUAC